UACGGAGGGGGCUAGCGUUGUUCGGAAUUACUGGGCGUAAAGCGCACGUAGGCGGCUUUGCAAGUUAGAGGUGAAAGCCCGGGGCUCAACUCCGGAAUUGCCUUUAAAACUGCAUCGCUAGAAUUGUGGAGAGGUAAGUGCAAUUCCGAGUGUAGAGGUGAAAUUCGUAGAUAUUCGGAAGAACACCAGUGGCGAAGGCGACUUACUGGACACAUAUUGACGCUGAGGUGCGAAAGCGUGGGGAGCAAACAGG
rnacentral:rRNA from 1 species